GACGAACGCUGGCGGCGUGCCUAAUACAUGCAAGUCGAACGCUUCUUUCCUCCCGAGUGCUCGCACUCAAUUGGAAAGAGGAUUGGCGGACGGGUGAGUAACACGUGGGUAACCUACCCAUCAGAGGGGGAUAACACUUGGAAACAGGUGCUAAUACCGCAUAACAGUUUAUGCCGCAUGGCAUAAGAGUGAAAGGCGCUUUCGGGUGUCGCUGAUGGAUGGACCCGCGGUGCAUUAGCUAGUUGGUGCGGUAACGGCUCACCAAGGCCACGAUGCAUAGCCGACCUGAGAGGGUGAUCGGCCACACUGGGACUGAGACACGGCCCAGACUCCUACGGGAGGCAGCAGUAGGGAAUCUUCGGCAAUGGACGAAAGUCUGACCGAGCAACGCCGCGUGAGUGAAGAAGGUUUUCGGAUCGUAAAACUCUGUUGUUAGAGAAGAACAAGGACGUUAGUAACUGAACGUCCCCUGACGGUAUCUAACCAGAAAGCCACGGCUAACUACGUG
rnacentral:rRNA from 1 species